rnacentral:rRNA from 1 species
GUGGGGAAUAUUGGACAAUGGGCGAAAGCCUGAUCCAGCCAUGUCGCGUGUGUGAAGAAGGUCUUCGGAUUGUAAAGCACUUUAAGUUGGGAGGAAGGGCAGUAAGUUAAUACCUUGCUGUUUUGACGUUACCGACAGAAUAAGCACCGGCUAACUUCGUGCCAGCAGCCGCGGUAAUACGAAGGGUGCAAGCGUUAAUCGGAAUUACUGGGCGUAAAGCGUGCGCAGGCGGUUUUGUAAGACAGGCGUUAAAUCCCCUGGCUCAACCUGGGAACUGCCUCCAAAACUGCAUGACUAGAGGACGGUAGAGGGUAGUGGAAUUUCCUGUGUAGCGGUGAAAUGCGUAGAUAUAGGAAGGAACACCAGUGGCGAAGGCGACUACCUGGACUGAUACUGACACUGAGGUGCGAAAGCGUGGGGAGCAAACAGGAUUAGAAACCCCAGUAGUCC